UCUACGGGAUGCAGCAGUGGGGGAUAUUGCACAAUGGGGGGAACCCUGAUGCAGCGACGCCGCGUGUGGGAAGACGGUCCUCUGGAUUGUAAACCACUGUCCCCAGGGACGAAAAUGACGGUACCUGGGGAGGAAGCUCGGGCUAACUACGUGCCAGCAGCCGCGGUAUUACGUAGGGAGCGAGCGUUGUCCGGAAUUACUGGGUGUAAAGGGAGCGUAGGCGGGGAUGCAAGUUGGGAGGCAAAACUACCGGCUCAACUGGUAGUCGCACUCACAACUGCAGCGCUUGAGUGAAGUAUAGGCAGGCGGAAUUCCUGGUGUAGCGGUGAAAUGCGUAGAUAUUAGGAGGAACACCAGUGGCGAAGGCGGCCUGCUGAGCUUUUACUGACGCUGAGGCUCGAAAGUGUGGGGAGCAAACAGGAUUAGAUACCCGUGUAGUC
rnacentral:rRNA from 1 species